UAUUUUUUUAAUUAUGACAAAUGCUACCUGAACGCCUUGUAUUUUAACUUUAAAGGCAGGACCACAUGGAUAUUUUAACUGGACGUGAUUUAUGAGAUGUUCCCGGAGGAUGAGCUUCAUUUACAACCAGACCAAUAGAGUUUAAUAUAUGGCUUUAUAUUAGAGGGGGCUAUUUGAAGUGUGGAAUGUGCAUGUACAGGACUCUUAAAUUUGAGCGAAUUCUUAAAAAGGCAUCUGUUUAAACUGAUCGGGAGACGAACUGUGCAAAUACCGGGAGACUAGCCCGGCGACCUUGGACUCUGCACCUACCUCCCCGAAGCUUAUUAUGUUGUAUUUCUCAUUGGGGGAUUUCCCACUACCAGUCGUUCGCCACUGAUAGCGUAUACUCUGAAACUGAGUUUCAGCCCGUUGGAACACUAUUAGACACAAAAAGGCUACUCCCACUUUUUUUCUCCCCAUAGGUACAACAAGCCUUCCAUUUUUUUUGACACAACGUUAUGAUGGUCCAAUAUGCAAUUCUUCCUCUGGUGCCUGGGGCUCAACAUGUCAGCGUCCACGUUUUAAUUUACCAAACACGGUCACAUUCAUGCAGGGUGACCCGGAAAACGCAGGAGACAACCGAUACAUCAAUAUUAUUUUGGACCUCUCUUUACGGAUCAAGAGGAAUCAGUCAAAAUUCCCGUGAGCUGGAAGGCAUUCCGGAGUUGAGGACCAACAAUGUGCAAAGAAAUAAUAGCCGUGGUAGGCGGCCUAAUUGCAGGUCUUGUGGCAGCAGAGGUCUUUCAAUGCACCGAAUUUAAAAUUGUUUGCUGUGGCGGAGGGUGUGGUGUAAUCUGCUGGCUUUUUUGCCAUAUUGUUCAAGAGAGUAUUAAAGGUAGCUUUUAGACUGAUCCAGCAAGCUUCCCAGUGCUACAUUUUGAUGGUUGUUAGACGUAGUUGAAUCACAUACAUAACCCACUUACCAGGUGUGGCAAUGGAACUAUUGGAAUAGGAAAAGAUGUACACUUUGAGUGGGGGAUGGGUGCUGGUACAUGUGCCAUUCCAUAUGCGUAUUUUUCACACCACAUUGCGUCCAUGUACAUGCAUAAUUAUUUUAUGUAUUCUCCACUGUAAUUAAGGGAAAGUGAAAUGCGAUGGAUAAGGGAGUAAACCGAAAAAGUACUUAUGAAUUGACAGGAUUGGGUGCUCCAUCUUGUGCGUCAUGCACUCGCACACCCAAGCACAUACACACAGCGAGGACGCUGCCUCAUGAGAUAAACUAAAAAGAACUGGAAACCGAGGACACUAGCCUUGGACUGUCAUUACAAGUCAGGAAUACUUCCAACAGUCGCAAACUAGCAUCGAUGUUUCUAACAUCCUUGUUCCUUAUUACAGCCUUGGGUAUAAUUAUGGAGAUUGCAAGCAAAAGGGCGUCCUCUUUCAAAACUGUUGUCUCCAGUUUAAAAUAAAAACCAUGGGCGGGAUGAGCAGAUGGGUCGAUUGCAGUAUUUUUGGGCUAAGACUCGUUGAGUAUAAUUAUAACCUGCUAAUGUAGAGAGAAUUUGUGAAUUGAAAUACUUCUAUUGGCCUUUGAUGCAUCGUCGACAUAAUAGGGUGCGCUAUUUUUUAGUAGGUACAAUUUGGAGUAAACCCAAAAGAUGUACGUCCAAACCAAAUAGCGCACCUUUUGUGCCCGCCUUCCGCAAAUGGGCUAAUAACUGCUAUACGUCCUAGCUUUAAGUUUAAACACGUAGAUAGGCUGCAUUUGCAUGCUGUGACUGCAGCUGGAAAAGGGUCUAUGAUAGCCAAAGCCAAGCUACUCCUACAAUGCAUGAUAUGCGGCAAAGGGGGACCCCCCUCUAGUGUGUCUUCUUUUGUGUUGAUGGAAUCUUCGGAAUUCCUUUCAGAUUUCGGGGGGGGGGUGCAGUAGGCACAAUAGUCUUAGGGUAUACAGCUUGAGCAUCACAGGGUGGGGGUCCCCUUUUGCCGCAUAUCGUUCAUGAUAUAAAGCUGCUGCAGCCACUUCCCAGGCACGCGUGUUGCAUCUUACCAUAACUGAGCAUAUCUGCCUUGCGCAGAAGCGUCCCCUUAUCAGCUGAAAAGAGCCAUGUUUAAUAGUUGGGAGCGUUCAUUUUUGUUGGUAAGCGAUUGGUACAGUCCACUCAUUCAAGUGUUACUUUCUGGCCAGCUCAUUAGGCCUACCAUGAAAAAUACCCCGCAGUAUCUUUUCAACAAGUAGAUUGGUGGGCACCCAAAAUGGUGAGAUUAUGUAAAUAAUGUGUCAGGAUCAACGUCCUGCUUCUUUGGGCUUCCACCUGAGAGCUAAAUGAAUAAAAAUAGUUGGAAAAUUGUCCUUUAGUGCUCAAAAAUUGAGCCAUAGGCAUGCCAUUUGAAAAUGGCUGCAACAUGGAGAUUACGAAACUAUCACUAUUCUGGGUGAUUUUGUACAUUUGAAUGAUUAUAAAUAAAUAUCGCUAUUCCACCAAAAAUGAAAAGAAUUCGGAAGAUUAAGGACAAAAUGAUAUUUGAAAUUUGUUUAAGGAAACCAAGGAAUGUGGACUUGCAUAUUAUUGGUCAGUGCACAUGCUGUUUUCACUCUGUUUUCAAUGGGCACCUUCGAGUCGUAGGGGUCGUUUAACGAGUGAAUUUCUUGUUUGUGAACCAGUAGAAACGCAGUGUUCCCAUCAUGUCAUGGCCUAUAAAUAUCAACUGCAAAAUGUUAUUUAUUUUUUUCAUACUUCGGGGCUUGUUUUCAAUCUUGAAUUAACUUUCAGAUCUCAAAAAUUCUGUUAGUUUCCAAGAGAGAGUGAUAUAUAUAAUCGAUAUCCUAGUUCUCAAGAAUAUUUGUUUUUACAUUACAGUAAUGGAUGCUGUAUUGUUUCAGUUUGUGAUAAAUGCCCUUAGACUAUAAUUAUCUGAACCAACCAGUAAUAUAAAGCUUGUCGAGCAAGAGUGCGACCAUAUAAA